rnacentral:rRNA from 1 species
AUUGAACGCUGGAGGCAGGCCUAACACAUGCAAGUCGAACGAGUGGCGGACGGGAGAGUAAUGUCUGGGAAACUGCCGGAUGGAGGGGGAGAACUACUGGAAACGGUAGCUAAUACCGCAUACCAUCGGAGGUGCACAGAUGGGAUUAGCUAGUAGGUGGGGUAAAGGCUCACCUAGGCGACGAUCCCUAGCUGGUCUGAGAGGAUGACCAGCGACACUGAAACGUAGACACGGUCCAGAAGCCUACGGGAGGCAGCAGUGGGGAAUAUUGAACAAUGGGCGCAAGCCUGAUGCAGCCAUGCCGCGUGUAUGAAGAAGGCCUUCGGGUUGUAAAGUACUUUCAGCGGGGAGGCGUUACCCGCAGAAGAAGCACCGGCUAACUCCGUGCCAGCAGCCGCGGUAAUUG